rnacentral:tRNA from 1 species
GUCCAUGUGGCCUAAUGGAUAAGGCGUUUCCCUCCGGAGGAAGAGAUUGCGGGUUCAAGUCCCGCCUUGGACU